rnacentral:rRNA from 1 species
CAAGAUAAGAUCUCCACAUAGGGUCGUUGCAGACUACGACGUAGAUAGGUUGCAGGUGCAGGGGCAGCAAUGUCCACAGCCGAGCAAUACUAAUAGCCCGAACCCUUUCC